rnacentral:rRNA from 1 species
UACGUAGGGCGCAAGCGUUGUCCGGAAUUAUUGGGCGUAAAGAGCUCGUAGGCGGUCUGUUACGUCCGCUGUGAAAACCCAGGGCUUAACCCUGGGCUUGCAGUGGAUACGGGUAGACUAGAGGCAGGUAGGGGAGAAUGGAAUUCCCGGUGUAGCGGUGAAAUGCGCAGAUAUCGGGAGGAACACCGGUGGCGAAGGCGGUUCUCUGGGCCUUACCUGACGCUGAGGAGCCGAAAGCGUGGGGAGCGAACAGG